rnacentral:rRNA from 1 species
AAACCAACAGGGAUUGCCUCAGUAGCGGCGAGUGAAGCGGCAAAAGCUCCAUUUUGAAAGCUCUUCGGAGCGUUGUAGAUUGGUGGGAAGCUAACGGCUGGUGGGAGACCAAGUCCUCUGGAACGAGGCGCCAUAGAGGGUGAGAGCCCCGUGUGUCUCCUUUACCGACCUUUCAGCCCCCUCCGCGGAGUCGAGUUGUUUGGGAAUGCAGCUCUAAGUGGGUGGUAAAUUCCAUCUAAGGCUAAAUAUUGGCGAGAGACCGAUAGCGAACAAGUACAGUGAUGGAAAGAUGAAAAGCACUUUGAAAAGAGAGUGAAACAGUACGUGAAAUUGUUGAAAGGGAAGGGUAUUUGGCCCGACAUGGGUCCUAUGCACCGUUGCCUCUCGUGGGCGGCGCUCUGCUUGGGCCUGGGCCAGCGUCAGUUUGGAGGGGGCGAGAAGGGUUUUGGGGAGUUGCCUAGCAAUUCCCCUUUGCUAGAUUGCCCCACACCGGACUGAGGACCGCCAUCUGUAGGAUGCUGGCACAACGGCCAAAUACCGCCCGUCUG